GGCCUUGCAUCGUGGGCGCCGCCGCCCGGAGGGAAGGGUGAGAACGCGUCAAAAAUGUCGUCUCAGGAUCCUGACAAGCCAUGUACAGGUGAAGGAAAAUCGAACGAUUCAGCAGGUACACGAGGGGACAGUUUGGACAACCCAGAUCAGUCCAUUAGAAAAAGGAUACGACAAAGUACCUCAAGUCCAAACGGAGACAACGUGCCACAAUGACUUCAUAUUUGUUCUUGUUGAAUCUCAUCUGAUUGAUUGCAGACCAG